rnacentral:rRNA from 1 species
GACGAAGGGUCCUAGCGUUGUUCGGAAUCACUGGGCGUAAAGCGCAUGUAGGCGGCUUUUCAAGUCAGGUGUGAAAGCCCACGGCUUAACCGUGGAAGUGCAUUUGAAACUGUAAAGCUUGAGUAUGGGAGAGGAUGGUAGAAUUCCUGGUGUAGUGGUGAAAUACGUAGAUAUCAGGAGGAAUACCGGUGGCGAAGGCGGCCAUCUGGCCUAAUACUGACGCUGAGAUGCGAAAGUGAGGGGAUCAAACAGG